UAAACCCAUGCACUAGAUCAGUAGUAGAUUUUUUUAUUUUUUUUUCACACCAAUCAUAGUUAGUUUUAGGGUGAAUCUGCUGUAUAACCAAAAUCCAAUCUAAAAUUAAUAAUAUAACAUCAUAUUCAAAAAUAUUAAAAAAUUAACAAAUUAGAGUAGUGAAAAGACAAAAUUAUUCAACGGUGAAAGAUACGCGCUAAAGAGGACGUGAUGAGAUAUGUGGAAGAAGAGAGAGAAUAAUCUAAUGUUAUAAAAAUUAAUAUUACCCCAAAUGAUUUUAAUUGUUGAAUUAGUGAUAUAAAAAUAACUGAUUAAAUUUUGCAAUAGGU
rnacentral:sRNA from 1 species